rfam:Spiroplasma culicicola AES-1, complete genome.
GGACCUUUAGCUCAGUUGGUUAGAGCAUCCGGCUCAUAACCGGAUGGUCAUUGGUUCGAGUCCAAUAAGGUCCA